AUCUCUCUCUCUCUCUCUCUCUCGUUCUCUUCUCUGAUUAUUAGGGUUCCACUACUCUGAUUUCAGAGAACUUAUGAAGUAUCAAUUCAGUAAUCUCUCCGAGAUUAAAGUUGAAUGAUUUACUGAUUUCGGAGAUCUCAAAUCCCAAAUCAAGACCUAAUCUCAAAUCUGAGAACUGACCUAGCAGCGCCGUUCUCCACCAUGAUUCGAUCUAUUAAUGGAAGUAAACUCGUUCCACCAUGAUUUGAUCUCAGUUGUUGCAUUAUAUUCUUCGAUCUAUAACCAUCUUCUUCGAUCUAUACAUGUUUUCGUUCUUCCAUCUCACUGCGACCAUUUUAUUCUUCAGUCUUUCCUGUAAAUUAUCAUUGGUUUUUGUAGUUUUUGCUGUGCAGGUGGAGAUUAAUAGGUUAAAUGAAGAGCUAAUUCGGUUGAAGGAUCAGGUAUGGGUAAGUAUUGGACGAUCUCUGUCUUUUUUUUACAUAAGUUUUAUUUGAGAUUCAUUUUACCCAUGUAGGUGUAAAUUCAGUCGUACAAAGGGGUUUGGUGAUUUGAUUGUUGUUGUUGAGAUUUUGCUUGAAGAAAUGAAGAUGAAACUUGGGUAUGAUUCUGAUUUUGAUAAUAUGGGGUUUUGAAUAGUUGUAGUUAUUGUGGAUCUGAGUUUUAGAGUCAUAGAAGAUGGAGGUUUAAAUGAAAUCUGUGUGCAUCUUUUGUGGGGUAUUAAGGUGAAAGAAUGGUUGAGUCAGGUAGUUUAGUCGAGUGGAUGGGUUUGCUGUUGGUGAUGGACGAAGAAGAUAAUUGAUCUGGUGGCUGGUUAAAAUGGGUUUUCCGGGUAAAAGGCUGUUGAGAGUUUAAUUCAUUAGGAUUUAGUUUGCGAUGCGGAGCAAAAAAAAUCCAUCUUAUAUACACUUUCUGUCUUUCUCGUUGUUGUUUGGCUCAGUUUUGUGCCUCCUUGGAAGCCUUGAAUAAGUUUUAACAAUUCAUUAAAAAAAAGUACUUGACAUUUCGCACUUAUGGGUGUAGGAUCUUUCGGUCACUAUCAGACGUGUAGGUCUGGAGUUCCUAAAGGAGGAGUAGACAGUUGUUGGUAUAUCCUUUUUUUCUGGGUAACUGGAGUUUAUUUCAUUGAUGGGACGGCAAUUACAUUGUAUGCGCUUAUUUUUAAAUCCAACCAUUGUUAACAACAUGGGAUAAAUCACAAGGAAGUCUUACAAGGGUACAAUUUUAUUCAUUGUGGACCUCGAAGAUAUUGAUACUUAUUGUAAUUUUGUUGUUGUUUAAUUAACUGUUUAUACCGUUCCAGGUAACAUUACUAAACCUUGAAAUUGUAAGAGAUCUAGCCAGAGGUGUGGAGUUUACUCUUUGUAAUUUAGUAUAGUGAAUGUGCCUUUACUUUGUUCCCCAAUCUUACAUUUUUAGAACAUAGAAAAUAAUAAGUGUUAUGCUCCACUUGCUCAUGUCUUACAAGAGCUUUUUUCUUUUUUUCGUUACAUUCUUACAGAUGGAAUCUCAUCUGUUGGAAUGUCUCCAUUUGUUUCUGGAUGGACUACAUGCAAAAAGAAAUGUAACGAACUCCAAAUAAAGUUAUGUAUUCUCCGAUGUGUCUCUGCCAAGUGCCAUCUCUUCGUGCUUUACAAGAACUUUAGUUUCUGAUCACAAAUAUCGGUUGUUCAUACAUCUCAAGUUGCCAUGUCAAUCGACUCUGGUUUUAUCCCUGUUCAAGAGAUGGUUUGAUUGCGAAGAGUUAAGACAAUUGUGUGUCUUUGGUUGAGAGUGUGGAGAAGAGUGGAAGAUGAUGAUGUUGGUGGGAUUAAAGUGCUAGUUUCUGAAUUGUGGAAUGAGAACCAAGAAGUGAUUGUCGGGGAAGUUGCUAACUUUGCGACUUAUGCAUUUGUCCUAAUUAUUGUCGGCACGAAACAAGUUCAUUCUCCAAGUUGUGUGUACUUUUCAGUUUUUAGGCUAAGGGUCAUCUUUUCUUGCAGCUCUGCACUUGCAAAACCUAGAAGUCUCUUAAGAUUAAGGAAAAUAAGUCAUUUUUAUUUCUAGUUUUAUCUUUUUGUUUAGCAAUUUUUCUUUCUUUUUGAAUUUGUUGUGAAGUUCAUUUGCUUAGUUAGUUUUGGUUCUAAAACAAGGGUAACUUGAUUUUGUUGGAUUAAUUUAAUUUUCAAAUGAAUAUGGGUAAUCUGAUUUUGGUUU